ACAUGUCUUCUUGAUAAUACUUUGAAGUCUGUCCUGCUCACUGAUUUAUUUAAAGAGCCGCGGUAUUAUGACCGUGCAAAGGUAGCAUAAUCAUUAGUCUUUUAAUUGAAGGCUGGAAUGAAUGGUUUGACGAGAAAUUGACUGUCUCUUAAUAAAUUUUAGAAUUUAACUUUUGAGUGAAAAGGCUUAAAUAAUUCUUGAGGACGAGAAGACCCUAUAGAGCUUCAUAUUAACAAGUUUAUGUUUAUUUUUAGUUUGUCUUUUAAUAUAAGUUGUUAAUAUUUAGUUGGGGUGACUUGAAAGAUAGAAAAACCUUUCAUUAUUAGAUCAUUAAUUUAUGUUUAUUUGAUCCAUAAUUUGUGAUUAAAAGAUUAAGUUACCUUAGGGAUAACAGCGUAAUUAUUUUUGAGAGUUCAAAUCGAUAAAAUGGAUUGCGACCUCGAUGUUGGAUUAAGAUUAAUUAUAGGUGUAGAGCUAAUAAGUUAGUCUGUUCGACC
rnacentral:rRNA from 1 species